GUCUCCGUUGGUGAACCAGCGGAGGGAUCA
rnacentral:rRNA from 1 species